rnacentral:rRNA from 1 species
AUUGAACGCUGGCGGCAUGCCUUACACAUGCAAGUCGAACGGUAACAGGUCUUCGGAUGCUGACGAGUGGCGAACGGGUGAGUAAUACAUCGGAACGUGCCUAGUAGUGGGGGAUAACUACUCGAAAGAGUGGCUAAUACCGCAUGAGAUCUACGGAUGAAAGCAGGGGAUCGCAAGACCUUGUGCUACUAGAGCGGCCGAUGGCAGAUUAGGUAGUUGGUGGGAUAAAAGCUUACCAAGCCGACGAUCUGUAGCUGGUCUGAGAGGACGAUCAGCCACAAUGGGACUGAGACACGGCCCAGACUCCUACGGGAGGCAGCAGGGGGGAAUUUUGGACGAUGGGCGCAGGCCUGAUCCAGCAAUGCCGCGUGCAGGAUGAAGGCCUUCGGGUUGUAAACUGCUUUUGUACGGAACGAAAAGCCCUGGGUUAAUACCCUGGGGUCAUGACGGUACCGUAAGAAUAAGCACCGGCUAACUACGUGCCAGCCGCCGCGGUAA